AUUGUCACCAUCCAUCUACUGAUAUUAGACCCAAGGAGAUUGCUAAGCACUGUCAAGCUUUCAUCUUCUCCCUUGUAACCCAUCAUCUACUGCAUUACAAUCCCAGGCUUUCAAUGUGCCCAGAACGGUUUAGCUGGAGUGCGCUUCAGUGCCUUCACUGCCAAAGGAUUGCCCUUGCUCUGCCAAAAAAACAACUGUUUAAAACUUCAAUUGAAACAAAUAGAAUGAAAGGAUUGAUGACUUUGGACUUAAGCGUACCAUCAAGCAGGUGCCUUCAUGUAUGUUGCAGACAGGGUAGUCAUGAGGGCAGCAGCUGUAGCGAUCUUCGCAGCAAGUGGCAGCCUCGAGUGGGCAGCAUCCCCAAGCAAAGCAGUAGUUAUAGUACUCGUAUAUGCAGCAGCAGGUAUUGCUCUCGGGACAGGAAUAAUAACUAUCGCACACGGUCGGAGGCUUUAUAGGAGAUGGUGGAGACGGUCCGGGAUUGGGGGGAUUUUCACCUGUUUUGAUCGGAUAAGAGGCUUCCAUCGCGAUCCCACAUUUGCCAGUUACGGUAUUGGCCACAUUCCUUGCCAUCCUGAUAUAGCCUGCUUCUCCCCAGCUGCUUCCCCAUGAGUUCUUUACAAUCCAAUAGUCUUUACCUUUCUCUGUGCCAUAUCCAACAGCAGUGACACCGUGGUCUAGUUGUGUUCCACAUUUUCCAUCAAAUAUACCCUGGAAAAAAUCAUAAAAAUGUCAUUUAUCGGACAGUGCUCGGACUUUGAUAAGCCAGUUGUGUUCUUGCAGAAACUAGUAAUUUUGAUGGAUGCAGAAUCUUACUGAUUGAUAUAACUGGAAACUCCUUCCUCCUGCCUCAAUGGCAACGCUCACCGGUUGAUUCGCGACUGCCUUUUUCAAUGCUUUCUCGUCAUUUACCGGAACAUCCUCAUAAUCAUUGAUCGAAACAGCUUUAGCAUUUUUCUGCAAGGUGAUUAAAAACACCAAGAUUCAGCAAGGAAAUUGAAAUUCUAUCUUUGUUCCUUUCCCAACUCUAAAAAAAAUAUGAAACCUACCCGGUAAGGGUCACAUGUACCGUCACGAGCGGUGUAAGGGUAAUCUUCUUCGGUGUCAAUGCCACCAUUUUUGAUGAUGAAUUCAAAGGCAUAAUCCAUGAGACCCCCAUUGCAACCUUCAUUGUAAGAUGUAUCACAAUCCACCAACUCCUGCUCAGAUAGUGAAAGGAGUUCGCCUGUAACAAUCUGGUUUAUCCCUUCCACAGCAGCAAUAGUCGAGAAAGCCCAGCAACUCCCUGUAUUUAACAUUAAAUUCUCAGUAAAAUCAUCUUAUUACAAACAUGUAAUAACUAUUUAAUAUAUUAUAUAAAAACAUUGGAAUCUAUCAAUUCAUUAAGCUGUCUAUAUCUUAUAUGGUUCAACUUUUACAGUGGAGUAAGCCCCUGAACUUUCGUGCAAGGAACCUUACUCCUUACCCCACAGAAAGCAGCCACCUCAAGCACUAACACUUCCACUAACUGCAGGGCUGCGGAAGCAUCCUUAUAUCCGACACAAUACUACUAUAGGUCAUAGUUCAUGGGUCGGGUCUAACUUUCCGCGAACCGUUGCAUCUGUUCAAAAUGCUCCCACUCUAUAAAUCCAUCAAAAUUUCGGACAAAAUCGGAUGAUAAAACUGUACUUCUGAAGUCGACAAAUAUAUUUAUAUAUUUAUAUAUUUUAACCUAAUUAACUCAAAAAAUAAGUAAAUUAAUCUAUAUAUAUUAAAUCAAAAAAUAAAUCAAUCUUUUUUUGUUAAAUAUUUUAUCCUAUUAAAAACUAAUACCACUGAACGAAUAAUAAUACAGUGAGUCACUUAUUAGACCGAAAUCAAUUUUUAACUUAUGAGACCGAAAUCAAUUUUUAAGUUACUUACUUUUACCUUAUAUAAGAAACCUACAUAUAUCCAAUACUCCACCUCAAAAUCUGAAUAACCAAACAGAACCCACAAAGCAAAGGUUUCUAAGAUAAGGACAGAUACAGGAACCUUCCCUGAAACAUCGGAACUAAGUUAUUUGUUUAAUUUUUUUUUUGUUCUUUCUCUCCAGGUUUUACAGUUGGCUCAAAAUAAUUACAGUCUAUCUGGCGGCAGAAGACAUGGAUAGAUUCAUUUGACAGAAACAAAACAAAAUCAUCUGAAAGUAUAAGUUAAAAUGCUAGUUUUCAGACAGACAAGAGAAGCAUCCAUAAAAGAAAAUUGAGAGAGAAACUUACCGCAACUUCCUUGAUCUUUGACUUCAGCGACAGCCCCUUUUUCCCUCCAAUCAACGGAAUCGGGCAACUUUUGGCCGAGAAGCGGGGCGUAUCGGUCACUGGCCUUGGAAACUUUCCGGUUGGGUUUCUUGAUUCCCAAGUAGAUGGCUCGGUACUCCUCGUUGGUAAGAUCAGCAAAGCGGUUCAAACCAACCUUAAAACUGUGACUCUCAUCGGCGUUAUGUUCAUCGAUGAACCUAAGGUUAUCCUUAAAAAUCUGGAGCCUCCUCUCUUUCUCACCCAAACCGUUGUAUGUUUUUCCAUGCUUUACAAGCCACUCCUCGUACAUGGCCAUAACUUCGUCGUCUGUUCUCCAACUAGACGUUGACUUGUCGGGAUGGGCUUCAUCGUAGGAUAUAAUGGACAUGUCGGAAGCUGAUGAUAAAGUGAACAUCAUCAGCAAAAGCAUAGCCAUAACCGAUCCCUGAGAACCCAUCUUGUCUGAGAAAAAGAAAAAGGAGAAAAGGAAUAGGAUUUUGAAUGUGUGGGGGAGAAGAAAGGCGAGAGACGGUAGGCUUAUAAAGAAAAAAAGAAGAUUAAUGGUAGUAACCCAAUGUGAAACUUGGUAAAUUCAGUGUAUUCCCCUAGUUGGAAAAAUAAAUUAAUAAACAAUUAAAAUACGAUAAAAUGGGGGUGAUAACAGUACAGCGGAGAAGCAUGUGGAUGCGAUUUGAUAGGUAGAGCAAAGAGAAAGAGCAGCCCAGCCCACGAAGAUAGGAGCUUUUGUAAAUAAUUCAGACAGUUGCACAACCUUUUAAGGGGAGAGUGAGUUGGCAUGUUAAACUUGAAAUUGAUCGCCAAACUUUGGGUGAUUUUGGAUUGGCCACGCAGGUUAACUUUCAACUCUAUAAACUCCAAACCUUAACCUCAAUCAAUACCAUUAAUAAGAGUUGUUGUUAUACCUCAAUCACAGUAAUUCUAAAAAAAAUUAUAUUUAAAAUAAGAUAUAUUAUUUAAUUUUUAAAAAAUAAUAUAUAUAAUUAAAUUUAAAUAUAUUAAUUUAAUUUUAAAUUUAUUAUUCAAUUAAAGUUUUAUGUUUUUUUUUUAUAUAAUUUUAAUUUCAUUAUGCAAUCUAUGAUAAUGGGAAAGUUUUUUUAGUGUAUAAUAUUUUACUAAAUUUUAUUAUACUGAUAAAAACUAAUGUUAAAAUUAUAUUCAUAAAAAAUUUAAUAAUUGAGUUAUAAAUAAAACUUUCACAAUAUUUUUAUUUUUAUUUGGUUUAGUUAAAUAUUUAAUAUAAAAAUAACAUUAAUUAGAUUAAUAUUUAUUAUUAUUUUUAAAAAAUAAAUUUUAAGUAAUUUUCCUAAUAAUAUUACCAAUAGAAGUGUUUUGUUUUAGAUAAUAUUUGGAAAAUAGAGAAAAAAAAAGGUUUGGCACCCUUGAGAAAAACUUUGAAGACCACAAAAGAUAUAUGUGUGUUUGGAUUGAAGUUGUAAAAGUGUAGGACCCAAUGGAAGUUGGGGAAUAUAUAUAUAUAUAUGCAUCAAUAAUUUAGGUGCUGACCUCCCCACAUUUCACUUUCAAUAUUAGAUGAUAGGAUAGGCGCCCCAAUUGUUGAGUCAUUCACGCCUUCUCUAUUUCUUCAGCUAUUAAACGACUUCCAUCAAAAUAUCUUUUACGAAACAUUAGAUUUUUUUUAUAUUAAUAAUUUUUUAUUUUAUUUUCAGUAAUAAUGCUUCAUCGUUAGGAAAAAAGGAAUAUAAUUUCUGGGUAUUUGAAAAGUAAAAUAAUAUGGUGACAUUGACCCCAAAAGUGAUAUGGCAUAGGAUGUUGUUGUACCCAUAUAAUUGAUUAGGACGGAGACAAGCAACUUAAAUUUGGACUGUUUUAUCAAAGAAUCCAACCAAUUUGCUUAUUAUCAUAUCAUUGAUUUCCUUAAUUUAUGCUGCUAUGGCCAAUAUAUCCUAUAUAAAUCAACUACAACAAUAUUCAUUAAAUUAAGGCUAAGUUUUUUAUUUUUGUCAUUUAACUAUCAAAUAUCAAAUGUUAUAAUAUAGUCAUUCACGUUAUUACUGAAGUGAUUAAUUUAAUCAUUAAAUUACAUGUCUGAUCUUAUGUUGAAUAAUUUAAAAUGAAAAUUUAAAAAAAAAAUUGAUAUUGUAAAAGUGGCUGUUAUAAAAUAUUGAUUAUGAGGUUUUUAAAGUUUUUACAAAAGUUAUAUCUUUCACUGUUUUUCUUCUUCUUUUUUUUUUUCAGUUUUAACAUAUAUUUUUUUUUUAGUUUUUACUUUUAGAAGUGUUGGAAAAUAUAAAACUGACAAUUUGGUGCUAGAUGGAAUGCCUACUCUCCUAACUACCAAAUUUAUAUAGAGACGAAUUUCAUAUUUAAAGUGUUGGCAUUUUAUUAAACAAAUUUUUUAGGCUAUGUUGAUUAUAAGGUUGAUAUUUAACCCAUUAUAAAAGAUCAUAUUAUAUGGGAAUCUUAUAUUGCUGAUUGAAUUGAUUCGAAAUUACCCAAGACAAUCCCUUGAAUCAUGGACUUUGGAUUGGAUCAUGAUUCUUCUGGUUGUUGAGUUAUUAAGAGUCUAUUUUUAUAGUUUCUAUUAUUAUAAUAUAUUAAACCUAUUUUAUUGUUGUUUUAGUGAGAUUGGGAUAGAUCUUCAUAUGUAAGCAAGUUUUAAAACAAAGCAUAGCUAUUUUUUUUCUCCAAUUUCGAAAAAGGACCAAGAAGAAAUAUGAUAGCAUUGUUUUCUAAUUGACUAUUUACCUAAUUGCCCUUGAUUAAAAUCAUGCAAAACUCAAUAUUUACAACCCCAUAACCAUCUAAAUUAAAUUGUUAUGGUCUAAUUAUAACAUAAAUCCUCCUACUUUAAAUAUUUAAGCCAUUAUGUUAAGAAAAUCAAUAUUAAGCAACCUUUCCAUCUUUUACGAUUUAGUCCUUUUUAAAAUUAAUUAACUAUCUAAACGAUGAAAUUUCUUAACCAAAUUUUAAUACAACCAUAAUGACCUUGUAAAUAUUUAAAUAAUUAAUAUUUACAAACUAACACAUCGAAAUUUGUGGUCCCGAAAUUAUUGUUUUGACACCACUGAAAAACGGGUUGUUACAUGGACGAAGGAAAAUGUAGCAAGGGAAAGGUUGAUAAAAAAAUUUCUUUUCAAGUCAACAAAGGAAUGCCCACUUCCCAGAAUGUUAACAUAAAAGACCUUUAGGAGCAAAUAGUCUUACUCACUUAAAAUUUCAAUAAGGCUUUUAAAAAACAAGCAAGGAGAUUUAAAAGGUUUAAAGUUAGUGCUAAUGCUCCCAAGAACAACUCAAAGGGAAUUGUGAUUAAAGAGGAACUUAAAAAGGAUAAAAAUAAGGUUAUGAAUGUCAAGUUUGUGGUUUUAUUCAAUUAGAAUGUGCCAUACAUGACUUGUAUAUGACAUGGUUUUACUAGCAACACUGGAAUUUAUAGUUCAAUGAAAGAGCUAACGGUAUCCUCUUAUUGGCAUUGUGUGGAUUGAUAAAUAUAGAACAUGGCCACAGGUUGCUUGUACUCGAAUGAGUAAUUUAUCACAUUCAUUUGUUUACAAUGAUCAUAUUAAUCAUUAAGAAGACACAAUUCUGACAAUGAGAUAAAAUAGGAUUGUAUUGAGUGAACGGAUUUAACUCAAAGAAAUCAAGGAUAUCAUAUGAAGGUAACACACACAUGACAAGGUCAUUAGACAAAGCAGUUAGAUGAAUUUCUUUCGUAAAGAGUACACAAUAAUGAGUUUUCAAUCAUGGUACUUCUUGUGGAUUGACCCCAUGAUUAAGUAAUUACGAAUUAUUGGAACAAUGCUUUUAGACAUAAUUGCAAUUACUAGAGCCUAAUUGUAUAUGUCCGAUUUGUCCCUCUGCUAGCUCAACAAAAGCUUGAUUAGACUGCAUUUGAAUCAGAAGAAAAUUCUACAACUUUGGAAAUAAUUUAAUUGAGUCGAUUUAUUCAAUGUGGAAUUAAAUUAGGUGGUUGUAAGAAUUGUUCAACCUAGUGAAUUUGAUUAAAGAAUUUUCUUGAAAAAUUAGUUUGGAAAAUCUAAGUGAUUUUUGGGAAAAUUAAUUUUGAUAAAGUAAAAUUAAAUUAAUAAAAUUAAUUAAAAUUAAUAUGACAUUUUUGGAAAUUAAUUUUCAAGUUAGACAAUUGGCUCAAUUUGGUCAGGAGCCCAAAACCGAGACUAAGGGCUAGUUUGGCAAUGCUUUUGAAAAGUGCUGUAGAAAAGUGCUUUUGGGAAGUGCUUUUGAAAAGUUUGGUUUAAAAUUUGAGUGUUUAGCAUUGCUGUCAAAAAAGCUUUUGAGAAAUAAAAUGUCUAUUUUAGACAUGUGAUUAUCAAGUAACAAAUAUACAUUUAAAUAAUAUUUAAAUUAGUUAAUAUUAUUAUAUUUUAAUAAGAAUAUAAAAAAAUUAUUAUAACUUCUUGUUAAUAUUUUAAUAUAUAAAAUAUAAAUUUUAAAUAUUUUUAAGCAAUAAAUAUUAAUUACUUAUAAAAUUUAAUUAGAAUAUAUAAACUAUAUUUUAAAUAUUUAAAUAUAAGUAUUAAAUAUUUUUAAUUAGAAUUUUAAAAAUAUUUUUUAUUUUUAAUUAAUGAUUUUAACACAUUUAUAAUUAAGUACCAAGAAAAAAAGGGGAAGUACUAUGUUAUUGGAGAGGUGAAAAAGUAAUUAAGCACUAAAAGUGCUUUUGGAAGAGGAAAAGCUAAAAAUUUUAGCUUCUACUUUUCAGAAGUGCUUUUUAAAAGCACUUCUGAAAAGCUAAAAACUUCAGCCAAAAGCAGCUUGUUCUGCACAGUUUUUCUUCCAAAAGUGCUUUUGGAGUCAGAAGUGCUUUUGAAAAGCAAUGCAGAACUGGCCCUAAGACCCAAAAAUUGGUCGAACCAGGACUUGUAUGUGAAACUGGGCAAAUGGUCCAACCAGUGGCUGGACCAGAUCAUUCAGGCCAUCACUAACCCGAAUUAAACCGCUAGAAAUCGAACUAGCUCGGGGUGCCGACGGCUGCAACGACAACAUUCCGGUGGUUGACAAAUGGUCUAUGGUGGUGGUUCUUUGGUUGUUGAGGAGUGAAAUAAUUACACUCCUACUGGGGCUCUACUAGAGAAUUUUAUUUCAGAUUAACUAUUCCAAAAAUAAUAUUAUUUUAAUAGAUUUAAUAUUAAAUUUAAUUUAAUACUUCUCUUAAUAGUAUUUUAUUAAUUUAAUAUUAGAGUGAUUAUCUUAAUAUUAAAUUUAAUGUUUAUCUACAAGAUAAACAUUCUAUCUACAAGAUAAACAUUCUAUUAAUUUAAUAAGAUUUAAUAUUAAAUUUAAUCUAAUAUUUAUCUUGAUAAGCUUAUAUUAAUUUAAUAUUAAAGUGAUUAAGUUUAAUCAUAGUUGAACUCUCUAAACUCUCCCUAUAUAAAAAGAGGAUUGAGUCAUUAUUUACACAAACUUGAAUUCAAAAAAAAGUUGUAAAGAGAAAAUUCAUUGAAGAAACUAUUUUACAAAAUUUCUAGAGAUAUUUUUCUUAUUUAUAACUUGGCCCAAAAGUUUAGAAAAAUUGCAAAAUUAUCCCCACUAGUAAUCUUUGUGAUUUUUUUAUUCAAAGCGAGCCCACACUCCGCAAAUGUGAGCUUGAUGAUAGCGGAGAAGACUACUCGAUUGAAGUGUUCAUCUUAGACGAAUCAAAGGUACAAUUUUGAUUAAGUGUUUAUUAUUUUAGAUAUCACAACCAAGUUCUAGUUUUGAAAAAAUAUUUUAAAACUCUAGUUUUUCUUAAAUUCAUUUUCCGCUGCAUUUUUCAAAUCUGAUUUUCCAACAACCCUAUGUAUGCAUAAUGACGCAACUCGAACUGCUACCUUAGUGCAAUCCUAGCUUGGUCCUUCCUGGCGUAUCCAUUUUUAAAGCAGAACUUGAAACAUAAGCAAACAAUUGUAAGUUUAAAUGAAUUUAGUAGGUUUUAACCCAGAUUACCUUGAAGCAUUUGUUGUUUAAUUUCUCAUCUUGAAGAUUCUAGAUUUCCUUUCUGUCUUUGGCGGAUACUUUCUUAAUAUCUAGUGUAUACAUAUACGCCAACUUCUAUACAACCAUUCUAAACACAUUUCACUCAUUGAGUAGAUUCCAGACUUCACCAUUCAAUACAAAUCUCAUUCCUUUUCGAAAAACAAAUCACUUCUCAGAAAGAUAUUAGUGGAUACUAAUACUAACUAAUCUUUUAAGAUGAACUUCAUACAUAUCCUACUUUUGGCAGAUUCUCAUACUAAAAUAGCAAUGAUCAAAUUACCAGUCAGAUCAUAUCUUAAAUCAACCCAAAUCACAACUUAUUCUGAUGGAUGAAAUCUUUUAAGUCAUCCUAUGGAAUCCCAGACAACUAUGUUACAUAUCAUGAGAACGCUCUGAUUUGACGGAUAACUUAUACUUCAAAUAACCUUUUUAUAUAUAGCAUGAAACACUUAGAUUUGGCUAAUAUUGGAUAAUUCAGAUUACUUCCUUACAUAACAUAAAUAAAUUCAAAUCUAAAAAACUCUUAGACUACUCAUAAUUAUGAAUACGCCAAAUUACUUGUACUCACAAACUACUACGGCAGAUUUAGCCUUCAGAAACACUGUUGAGAACUCUUUCAGGAAAUGUUUUUAAGUUAUAUUCAAUUUCAUCACAAGGCUAUCUAAACAGAGAUGUUUUCAAACUUAUUCAUAUCUAUAUCACAAAGUUAUCUAGUGAAGAAGUCUCUAAACUUAUCAUGAUUUCACCACAAAGGCAGUUAUCUAGAUCUUACCUUAAGGGUGUUACAGAAUACGCCACACAGUCAUCACAGAAUACUCCACAAAGGCUUUACAGAAUACACCACACAGGCUUUACCAAAUACUCCACCAAGGCUUUAUAGAAAAUUACGUGUUUAUUGUCCCGACGGACUAUCUUAAAGGGUGCCACGGAUUUCUCUCACAUGGUCUUGUACAUAUUUUUAUGUCAUGUUCUGCCAAUCCAUUGUACAUCUUACCAGAGGCAACACCAUGAGUAUUCUCAUUGUCAUAUGAUGCCAUAGGUCUCUACCACAUGGUCUUACACAGAUUUACAUAUAGUGAUCUAUCAAUCCGAUUAGCAAUGUACCUGCCCUACCGGAGGCAUCACAAAUGGUGUGUUACUGGUUUAACACAGAAAACACUUACCUAGAUUCAUUCACACUCCUGAAAAAUUCAUACUCUUCCAUACCUGAUUUCAUAUGCAUAUAUACCACACAUCAUCUUAUUCAUGCAGUAACUCAUAUAUCUCAUUUGUGGACAUGCAACAUCUUUACAAUACUUUACACACAUAUACUCACUAGUUAUCAAGGAUGACAUUUACAUAUGAAUUUCUAUUGUAAACUAACAUACAUGAGUUAGGAUAUAGACUCACCUGAAACUCACAUUUACUGUAGUUCGGAGUUCCAAAUCCAAUCAUCCUUUCCGAACCAGCAGCAACAACAAGAGGUUGAAACAUCCACCGAUUAACCUAAAAAUCGUAACUUUCAAGUUAAGAAAGAAGAAAUGAAUGUUUAAGUUUAAGAAGAAAAACCAAAAGGUGGAGCAGAAAGAAAAAAAAAACCAUUUCCCUGUUCCCUUCUUACAACAUAUAUACUCAAUUCCUCUUUGUGGAUCUUGACAAGUUUCGAAUGUAUACAUAAAUUGUCCUUUAAAUGACUUACAAGAAUAGGAAGAAAUAUAAAAGAGAAUCCCAUGUUAAUUUUUUUGGACCAAUUAAUCCAUUUGUUAACUCUCAACCAAUCACGGUAUAGAACCCGCCUUGCAUAGUAUUUAAGCAAAUCGAACAUACCAUACCUUUGGCAAUAACUCUCAUAAGGCGUGUUCUUUUCUUGUCGUAUUCUUUGUUUAAUUGAAUAAUACCCUUUGAUGAAAUCCUUAGAUACUUUCACGUACGGAUACUUUAUGCACCAAACUUUAAUUUUCUAGAAGCUUGUAAAAUGGCAGGUUAUGCUACUAUAUAGUGCCAAAAUAAGUAAUUUUCACAUUUAUACGCCUUCUUCUUGAAUCCAUCGAAUUUGGGGAGUGACAUGAAAUAUGGAAAUGCUACUUUGAUCAAACAUGUGGCUACUAAAGAAAACACUUAUUGUAGAAGAAUUAAACAACAUGACUAAAAUAAAAGAAGAGUUUGUUAAAGCCAAGCUUACAUUUAAAAAUUUUUUUGUCAGUAGAAAUAAGCUUUAAGGUUUGUAAUUAACUUCAGAUUAGAAUUUUAGGAUGGAUUAACUACUUAUUAACCAAUUAUUACCUCCUGACCUCUAAUUAACUGAUCGGUUGGUUGAUACUCGCUUAUCUUUCAACCUCGCUCAUCUCUUGACCUCAUAUAGCCUAUGAUAACUUUCUAGGAUUGUCAAGCCUAGGGUUUAAGAACAUGUAAUCUAUACCAAUGAACACUCUCGGGAAAACCUCAAUCUUUUGUUAAUUAUAUUGAUAAACCAUAAAAUAUACAUAUUUUUACCCCAUGUUUAAUGCAUUUUAUGGAUGAUUUCUCAUUAGAAUUGGUGAAUUCGAUGCUCCUAAUGCUUUAAUUUCAUGUUUUGUACUUAGGAGAGCAUAGGAGAGCGAAAGGAACGAGAAACGAGCCAAAAACGGAGAAAAUGGGCCAAAGUACGAAAUCAUCACGGCCUGGACCUCCUCACACGAACAGACCACACGGCCGUGUCAAUUUGGCAGGCUCAAACAUGGCCUGAAGUAAUCGAACAAUGGCGUGUGCCACAGGCGUGUUUCUACUGAGCCCAAGUUGAGUCCAAUUUGAAAAAGGCCAAUUUUGAGGGUUUCUAAGUAUUCUAAAGCCUAUAAAUACACCCUAGAGGAGGAGGAAAAUGGAGGCGGAGAAGGGGGAGUAAGGAAUUACUCCAAAGAAGCCGAUUGACCUAUCUCAGAAGCCGGUUGACCCAUCUUAGAAGCCGGAUUCAUCAUCAAAAUUGAAGAUCUCUCCUCAAUUUCCCUUCAGGAGUUUUGGGUUUUCUUUAUGUUUUGUAUUCUUUAUUCUUCUGAGAUGUUUUCUUAUUUAGUUAUGAACUAAAACCCCUAAAUACUUAAGGGGAAUGAAACCUAAGACGAAUCUUCUUAUUAUUUUCUGAAUCAUAUGAUAAAUAUUUAACUUGUUCUUAAUAUGUGUUAUUAAUUCUUGUUUUGAUAUCUCAGGAUACUGAUUCAAGACAUGCUCUUAUUCAGAGGAGGAAUAGACCCUGCCUAAGAGUACAUUUGUUGUAAUUAAGCAGAGUUGAUUGCACGCCUAGACAUAGGGUGACAAGAUUUCGCCAGAUUAGGGUGAAACCUAAUAAGGGAAUCCAUAGAUUGAGUUAAUGUAACCCUAGAGUGUUAAUUAGAGAAAAGUCUCGGUUAUUCAAUCUAAGGAUUAGACGUUAUUAGUCUUGAACAGAGAUAAUAACAUAACUUAGGGAUAUCUACGGAACAAGUUGAAUGAAUAAAUCGUCCAAUUCGGAGCCAGAAUAACAAGUAAAGUCUAGGUGAAUUUUUCCUUAGGUAUUGUCUUAAGUCAAUUGAUUUUUCCCAAAAGCAAUUCCCCAGUGCGUUCUUAGUUUAGAUAAUUAGUUAAUUAAAACAAAACCUCUUUAUUCUUAGGUUAGAUAAUAAAAAGAUAGUCAUUACUAGUACUUUUAGUUCCUUUGGGUUCGACAAUUCGGUCUUGCUAAAACUAUACUACUGUUCGAUAGGUACACUUGCCUACAUCACAAUAAUAGUUAGUCUAAGAAUGAGUAAUUAUAAAUAUUUAAAACCUAUCAUGAAAUCACGCGAUCACAUAUGCCCAUCCACUUGUUAAUCUUCUCUUCAUAAUCUCAAGUCCAAUUGAAUAAAUCAUAUGAAGAACACAAUUGAUUUGGAAGAGAAACAAGAUUUGGAUAAUCGUGCAUUUGAUAUCAAAUAGAGCACAGAGUAGCAAAUCGAUUGAUUGAAUAAAGAAAUAAAUCGAAUGCAAAGAAAAGAUAAAUUGCAAUACUUCAAUAAAAUAAAUAAACUCAUGGAUUGAAACCGAAUCCAAAAGGAAAAAUAACUAGUUUAUGAAAAGGCAAAAGAAAAUUAAUCUACUCGUACUCCUAAACUACUAUGGUUUUUUAGUGCGUCUAGGAUGACUUAGUUACAUCAAACCCCUAAUGUCUUAUUUAUAGAAAUGUUAGCAGCCCAACUUAGGUUUUUAGCACGUCCUAGGUCUUCGUAUAAGGUUGAUUGUGCAGACGAAAAUAGCUUUGAUAUUCUUGAGCAUCAUGUUGACCUAUGUCGUACUAGACAGUUUUUAUGGUGCGGCAUGACAUGUAAAUUUUACCUCCUUGGUUCCGUUUCAUGCUUUGACGGAUCACGAAACUUAUGCAUCACUCAUCUUUUGCUUCCAUGCCAAUUAGUUCUUUAAUUCUUUGUCUUACACACUCAAUUAAACAUAUUAGCAAUACCUAAUGCCCGUGUCAGCUUGAUGGGUCAUAACACUUAUAAAAUGUGUUAAAAACAUUUAUUUUGUUAAUAUUUAAUCCUAAGGCCUAAGUACCUAAAAUGUAAUAUAAAAUGCUAUAUUGCUUAGAAAACAAGCUCCUUAAGUAUUGAAUUGACUUGAAUUGACUACUACAUUUGACAGUAGGUCAGUAACACUAGCUUUAGAGAAUUCGUAACAAAUGCUGGAUCUCAAGCCAUUGAAUUACCAUUGAUUACACAACCUAUUUGUUCAUACAAGCUGACAUGUUCGGGCUGCUAACACUAACUUCAAAUCAAGAUUGCUAACACUAGUUUUAGAGAAUAUGAAACAAUUGUUGAAUCUCAAGCCAUCCAAUUACCCUUAAUAACAAAUCAUGUUUUCCUUUUUGGAAAAAUGCUGGCAUGCCCUUUGCAUCUCAAUUGUUUACUCAAUCCACAUGACCUAUUAUUGAAUUUGUGUCAUUUCAAUCUCUGUAACUAUGUACACAUUUUCACAUUCCAAAACAUUUCAUAUAUAAAUUGAAUCAUAUAGCAUCAUCUUGUAUUCAUUAUCCAGUUGUAUAACCAUUUCCAAUUUAUUCCAUACUAUAUAUCUAUUCGUAUUUAUCACAAAUCUCACAUUUUUUUAUUUAGCCCUUUAAAUUUCAUAAGUUAUUAAAAUUUUUCAUGUAUGUAAUUUAAUAAAUAUAACAAUACAAUUCAAACAUAAUAUAAAACAACAUAGUAAUUUAUAUAUGAACUUGAUUGAUAAAACAAUAACCAACAAGUUGUCAAGGACUAAUUCAUAAUUUCUCAUUUUCUUCAAUUAUCUACCGAUUGAUUCAAAUCCCAAUCUGUAAUAAUUCAUUACAAUUUAUCAAUUCCAAUAGCCUGGUAUCAUCCUAUUAUAGGUAUAAUUCAGUUCAAUUUCACUUUUUAGAAGUUCCCUAUAAUCGAAACUAUCGUAACUUAACAAUUUAUUGCUUUUGUCAUUUUUAAGUUUAAAAGCUAAUAUUUAAACACCAAAAGCUUCAAAUAUCAUCAAUGGAAACUUUUAUAAACUUUAACAGCUUUGAAAACAAAUAUACGAGUUAGCUAAAUCGAGUUACAACGAUCUAAAAAACAUAACAAUUACAAGAAACGAGCUAGAUUAAGCAUACCAGGCAAUAAGUUAAAGUUGGAAGCCCUUGACCGAUUCUUCUCCAAGGUUUGGCUCUGGUGUUUCGAUGGUGAAGAUGAAAAAAAAUAAAAUGCUUUUCAUCCUCUCCACUUUCUACUUAUUUUAUUAUACCUAAUAUACAUUAUAAUAUAUUUAACUUAAUUAUAGCCUUUAUAAAAUAUAAAACCCAUCACCAACCGUCCAUACAAGUUCCUAAAAUGGUCUAUAUGCCAUAUUAGGCCUUGUUUAUAUACCUUAUGAGUCCUUACAAAAUUAAAAAUUCAUAACAAUUAACUUUAUAACUUAUACAAUUUAGUCAUUAUAUCUUAACUAACCGAUCAAUAAAAUUACCGGACUAGAAAUCAACUCUAUAAUAGACUCAUAAAUAUUAAUAAAUAAUAUUUAUUGACUCGAUCAUCGGAGAACAGAGUUUCGAAACUAUCGUUUCUGGUACUACUGAAAAAUGGGCUAUUACAGUAAUAUUGUUUUCUCAUUAUGUGUAAGCCGAAGCCAUUCAUGAUUUGCUUCCCCCUUAGACCUACCGGUACCCUUGUAGUUGGUGGUGGUGCUGCCGAGAUUUAUGACGGAGGACCUUGGAAUUUUGCAUCUUGAGCUAUCUUACUUCUAGUGGAUAGACAAGAAUUGAAUUAGGCUUAAUGGUUAAGACCUAAGCUUUCCCCCUUGAGCUACCUACCUCCCUUUUAUUUUCCUUUUAUUUUCAGCAGCCUAGGGUAAAAGCUACAUCUAAAAUAUAUAUGGUUAGGAAUAAAAAUUAAAUAAGAACUAGACUUUAGGCCUAAUGGUUAAAAUGCUAAGCUUCCCUUUCUAGUGACUCGAGUUUGUGUAACAGUCUAUUUUUAGUGAAAUUGGAACAGUGGUUUCGGGAUCGCAAAUUCGAGUCCGCAAGAAAAAAAGUCCCGAAACUCGAGUCCGCAAGAAAAAAUUAUUUUAAAAUUAUUUUAUGGUCUACUGUAUGUUAGGAAUAUUGUAUAAAGAAAUUUCAUUAGGAAAUUUUACUGAUUACAUGAUUAUUUGAACCAAAUUGCAUAAAAUGCAAAAGUUGAAUUCUAGUAGUUAGAGGGAUCAAAUAGCUAUGGGACUCAAAACUUGAGGUCCUUAUAUGGUAAUUAUACAAAUAAAUGUAGUUAGUAGAUAAGCAUUCUUAGUCAUCCAUGGAACAUUAAUUAAAGAAAAGGAUGAAAUUGGAAAGUUGAAAAAAUGAAAAGAUGAUAAGUUAAUUAAAUAAAAGAAAAUAUCAUUUUAUUAUCAUCUUCCUCAAAUUUUCUAUGGAAACCUUAGCUAAGAGAAAGAAAUUCAAGCAAGCUUAAUUGGCUAAGUAAUCUUGACCCGUUUUUAGUAAUUUCUAUAUUUUCGAGAUCGUAAUAACCUAAGAUAGCUAUUUUGGGGAUUAAUUUGUAAAGUUAUCAAAGUAUAAAAACUUUUCCAUGGAUGUUUAUGCUAAAAUUUUGAAAUUUAUGGUAGAAAAUGAAAGGUUAUUGAUAUAUAAACAACUUUUGUAAAGGAAAUUUUCAUAAAAUUGUGAUUUAGGGACUAAAUUGAAAAGAUGAAAAAUUUAUGAAAAUUUUUUUAUUUUUUUAAAAUACAUGGGCUGUAAAUGUUAUAUGUAAAAAUCGGCUAGGCUUGGAACAAGGAUUAAAUUGCAUGAAUUUCAUUUUCUGAGCCUAGGGACGAAAUCAUCAUUAAUUAAAAGUUUAGGGGUAAAAUGGUAAUUUUACCUAGGAUGUGAAUUGGAUUUAAUUUGAUAUGAAUUGUAUUAAAUUCAGUUAAAUUUACUCAUAUAGAUCCAGAUAGAUAUAGUACGGAGUUGGAUCUAGGAAAACAAAAAGUAUCGAAUUAGUAGAUUCUCGUGUACGAACAAGUGUCGAGAAAAUAAAUUCAUAAAUCCGAUAAUACUCGGUAAAUAUUAAAUCCCAUUUGAAUACAUGAAAUUUAAUUAGAUAUUGGGCUCCUGUAUUGGUUGUGGUCAUGCAUAUGUUGCAGACACACCAUAGCUCAAAAGAGCAUUCCGUUAUUAGCUCUCCUGAACUCCCCGUAUGAUGGUUCUUGUAAGCUUCCCGUUAUAGCUCUUCGGAGCAUCUUGAUAGGUUGUGAUCCUACAUGUGUUGUGGACACACCUUAGCUCUUAUGAGCUUCUGGAUUAUAUGGCUCUUCGUGAGCUUCCCAUUAAUUGGCUCUUUGUGAGCUUCCCGAUAUGACUCGCUUGAACUUCCUGAUAUAUGGCCAUCCGGAGCUCCCCGAUUAAUGGCUCUUUAGAGCUACCCGUUAUAGGCUUACACAAGCUUCCUGAAUAUUGCUCUUAUGAGCUUUUUAUUUAGCUUGGAUAAGUUUCCUAUUUAUGUGCUCUUACAAGCACUCUUGAAUAUAAAUUGACAGACUUACCGUAUAGUACACUUUGAGUGUAUUGCCCAUGUAUCCAUCAAUAUUUUAAAUGAUUCAACGAGUAAAUUUUCGGUAUGAAAUGAUAUGAAUUCAUGAUGAAAUAUUAUUAAAAAAUAAAAAAUAAAUACUUAAAAUACAAGAAUAUGAUACUCAUAUGUUCAUUUGAUACUUGGAGUGAUAUCUAUAUUCCUUGGUAUUUAUUUGAAUUUAUAUAACUAACAUGCUUGAUGAGGAUUUAUGUGUGGUUAGGCUAUUGAUUUUAUUGAUUUGGAUGUACUAUGAGUUCUUAUUUUAGAUGAACAUGAUUAGUAAGUUAAUUUCAUGUUAUACGAACUUACUAAGCAUUAUAUGCUUACUCUGUUUAUUUUCCACUAUUUUAUAGUGCUCGGAAGCUCAUAAAGGUUGGAAAUCGGUCGGAGCAUCAUCACCUUAUCCUUCAGCUUGUUUUGGUAUAAAUAGAAAACUUAUUUUGGUAUAAUGGCAUGUAUAGGUUAAAUUGGCCAAUGAUGACAUGUAUAUGGUUGGUUGUAACUAGCCAUUAGAAUGGCUAGUGAUGGCAUGUUUGAUGUAUGUGUAGGAGGUUAUAUCAUGUUUAAUAUAUAUGUGCUUGGUAUGAUAAAUUGAAUUUUGAUAAACUUAUAUGAUUAUGCAAAAAGGUAAGUUUGAAUACUUAAAUACAUGUGAUGAUAUAUCAUGCAUAAGAUUGGUUUUGGCUUGGUUUUAAUGUCUUGAAUUGGUUGGUGAAUGUAUUAAAGUGUUGUUGUAGGUUGAAGAAAAAUUUGGACGAGAAAAGUCGCCUUGAAAAUGGCCUAUUUUCGUCUAAAUAGGUAGACACACGAGCGUGUGUCUAACCAUGUGUAAUACACGGCCAUGCACACGAGUGUGUGGUUUGGCUGUGUGUCCCCUACAUCUUUAAAAUUGUGAAACAGAAUGCCCAGGUAUUUUUACACGGGUAGAGACACAGGCAUGUGUCCCAGCCGUGUGUGACACAUGGCCUAGCAUAUGGGCGUGUGGCUUGACUGUGUGACCCAAGUCAGUAGCUACCCUAAUUUGAAAAUAGGUUGGGACACGACCGUGUUCCUCACAUUGAAUGUCCACACAGCUUGGGACACGGGCGUGUCACUUAGCCGUGUGAGCCACACAGCCUAGACACAUGGGCGUGUGUCCCCUAAACCUAAGGAAAAUUCUAAAAUUUCAUGAAAAAAAUUCUGAGUUCCUAGUUUAGUCCCGACUUGUUUUAAGUGCAUAUUUUGGGUCUCUAGAGCCUAUAUAAGAGACAUUAUGAUUGAAUAUGAUUGAUUUCGAAUAUGAAUAGUAAACGUUACGAAUUUACUGCAUUUGAUCUGUAAACUUCGGUAAUGCUUUGUAACCCUGUUCUAGUGACGGAUAUGAGUUAGGGGUGUGACAGUUUGAGCUACUCUCCUCCCUUCCAUUCCUUUUAUUUUUGGACACAAUGGAUAAAUUGCCAUGAAGCCUUCUAGGGUUUUCAAACCCUAGGUAUUUACUCAAUCUUUUCCCAAUUAGACUAGGCAUAUUACUUUGUUCUCAAUUCCUGUUAAGAUUUAUCCUUAUUUUAUCAUAUUUCUUCUCUUUUAUUUUUCACUCUUCUUUGCAUCAUAUUUUUCAUCUUUUUUUUGCUGAAUAUUUUCCUUUCUCGUAUUAAAACAUCAUCUAUUCAAUCAUUUUUCUACUAGUUUCAUAAUUUUUGUCUGUAGUAUCUCGAUCUUUGCCAAGAAAUGAUAAGUACAUCUUGUUCUGAAGUUCAGAUUCCAAAUUUUCGUAGUAUAUAUAUCUGAUACUAAUCUUUUGUUCAAUUAAACAAUCUUUUAACGGUUCUUGUAAAAUCUUUUGUUAAUCUUGACGAAUAUUUAAAUCUAUCAUUAACUCAUGUAUAAAUGUCAUUGAAGGACUAGAUUGAGGUGAAUCAGAUCGGAUUUGAUAGUAAGAACAUCGAUCAGACUCCCGAUAAAAGGUGUGUGUUCUU
rnacentral:lncRNA from 1 species